rnacentral:tRNA from 1 species
GUCGCUUUGCCGGAGUGGUUAACGGGAUCGCCUGCUAUAGAACUUGACUAAUACAGUCUUGUUUACGUAAGCGGUUGUGCUUGCACGCUAGAGUUCGAAUCUCUAAGGCGACG